AUUGAACGCUGGCGGCAGGCUUAACACAUGCAAGUCGAGCGGAGAUGAGGUGCUUGCACCUUAUCUUAGCGGCGGACGGGUGAGUAAUGCUUAGGAAUCUGCCUAUUAGUGGGGGACAACAUUCCGAAAGGAAUGCUAAUACCGCAUACGCCCUACGGGGGAAAGCAGGGGAUCUUCGGACCUUGCGUUAAUAGAUGAGCCUAAGUCGGAUUAGCUAGUUGGUGGGGUAAAGGCCUACCAAGGCGACGAUCUGUAGCGGGUCUGAGAGGAUGAUCCGCCACACUGGGACUGAGACACGGCCCAGACUCCUACGGGAGGCAGCAGUGGGGAAUAUUGGACAAUGGGCGGAAGCCUGAUCCAGCCAUGCCGCGUGUGUGAAGAAGGCCUUUUGGUUGUAAAGCACUUUAAGCGAGGAGGAGGCUACCUGGAUUAAUACUCUAGGAUAGUGGACGUUACUCGCAGAAUAAGCACCGGCUAACUCUGUGCCAGCAGCCGCGGUAACAC
rnacentral:rRNA from 1 species